AUUUCUCUUUUCCGUCUCUAUCAUUCUCUCUCUGUCGUUUUCUCUCUCCGUCCUAGAUCGAGGGUUUUUCUCUGUCUAUCUUCAAAGCUAUAUUCUUCAAAUGACGAUGAAUUAGGCUAUACUGGUUCUUCAAGCUACUCGGAAUUAGCACCAAAUCACCGAGGAAGAUGGACCAGCUGAGUUGCACGAACCCGAGGUUUCGAGACCGAGGACUGAAAAAGGAUCGAGAUCAUGGAUCGGGACCGAGACUGGUCGAGUCGAAGCAAGAGGAGGAGCCAAGAUCAUGAAUACUGGGUUUCUGGUAAUCGAGUUGUUACGGUAGCGAAGGGAUUCUAUCUAGGGUUUCGAGCGCAAUGGCGUUGGAUGCGCCCUACCUGUUGAAGCUCCUCCUAAGAACGAUCAUGAUCCAGCCAAGUUGGUGGCAAGAGACUCCAUGUGAGCUACUAAGCAGAUUCUGACGCUGUAUCUACUGAAUGGGAAGCUGAGAGAUGAUGAAAGUGAGGAAGAAUUUGAAUGUAUGCAUUAGAUGAUGUUGCUUCUUCAAUGUUGCAUGUAUGAUGCUCCUGAUGUUCGACAAAGUGCCUUUGCAUUGCUUGGUGACCUUGCAAGACAGGUGCAACUUAAUUGAAAAAAAAGGCAAGGUCCAGUUACUUUGUACGUGCUACAUGUCCUAAAACUGAGUGGGAUGUAAAUCUGUGUGCCUGGACAUGAUCCUUCUCCACAUGCCAUACCUCUGAAAGUUCUGCCAACUUUAUAGUUCAUUUUUAGAAUGGCAAUUAAUUUGCUUUAAGUAGCUUCUUGACAUGGUGAAAGUUGUCUUAUCCAGACAAUAAAGGUACAUAUGCAUUUCACUUCUGAUACUCUUAUUACAGUCUUUGAUGCUUGGAAAUGUUAUGUGGUUCACAAAUUGUUUGCAGGAAUGACAGUAUUCUUUGCCAAAAAAUCUAGUGAAUUGCACAAGUAAAAUUUGAUGAUCAGAGAGCUUAUUUAUUUAUGUGUGUAUGUUUAUUCUUUUUAAAAUCUAUCUGCUGUCUACUUACAUUUGACACCCAUUUUGAUGCCUCCCUUUUUUUUUUUCAAAUAUUAUUUUUAUUUCUUCCCCUUUUCCUAUGUCCAUAUAUCUUGUGGAGUCAAUUUUCCGAACCAAAUAAAUUUCAAAAUGUUAAAUUAUGGUAAAGUCUCUUGGCAGUUGUACUAAAGACCUAGUUUGAAUAAUGCCUUAAGCUGGGUUGGGGAGGUCUACUGAAAAAAGGAAAAAAAUAGUGCAGUGACCAUGUUCAGUCUAUGUAUUUUGCAUGCUAACAUGAGUUGUGUUGGGGCUUCAUUUGAUUGCUAAUCAUCUCAUUUCUUUCAUGUCUAUGUUUAUUAUUUUGGGGCAUGUGUUUCUUGUUGGUUUCCUUUUUGAAUCAAUAGUAAAUGGGGUGCACAAAUUUAUCAACAAUGCCCUUUCAUAGACUAGAAGUAUUUUGACAUUUUGUAAACUAAUAAUUUUAGCUUCGUCAAGAAAUUUCUCCAAUAGUGAUGACAGUCAUUUCUUGCUUGAUCCCGAUUCUUCAACAUGCUGAGGUGAUUGUUUCUUUGCUGUUUUCCAGUCAUGGAUGUGUAUGCAUGCACACACUUGUGGGCAUGGGUGUAUGUUUCGGACGGUUAUCUCUAAUUAAUUACAUUUCUUGAUGCUGAGCAGGAGCUCAAUAAGUCACUUAUAGAAAAUAGCGCUAUAAUGCUUGGUCGAGUUGCCUGGGUUUGUCCAGAGGUUGUAUCACUGCACAUGGAGCAUUGUCUUAAGGAGUUUUUGAGUUGCUUGGGAAAAGAUUGAAAGCUGGGGGAUGGGAUGGGAUGGAAAACUUAUGUUUGGGUCUCAUAUUACAAUGACAGGUUGAUGUAGUUGCAUCUCUAUUGAUGGCUAAUAAGAGGGAGCCCUGCCAAGCACAUAACUAUAUUGCCUUUGUCCACUCUCUCUCUCUCUGCAGAUUAUUGGAAAAGCUAAGCUAAGCUAAGCUUAAGCUACUAGUACCCACUUUUUAUUUCCUCAAAAGACAACAACAUCAAGUAGCCUUGUGAGGUAUUUGCUAUGAAGCACGGGUACUCCAAAAAUGUUGCCGUACAAGUACCGGGUACUUCCCGGGUGCGGGUACGCGUACCGGUACGGCUGCACGCGUACCGGGUACGCCAAAAACGUACCGGCUCCUUCCAUAUCUCAUUCCAAAAUACUCCAAGGCUGAAGAACUUCGAAGGUGCUUGCUAGGGUUCCAUGUCUAUUCGAUCAUCUCCUUCCAGAAAUACUCCCAAGAGAGUCUGAAGAACACUUCGAAGGUGCGAUUGAACGGUUUAGUCGAAGGUGCUGCUGAUUGAUUCUCUCAUUCAAAGGUGCGAUUGAAGAGGUAAGUUCAUCUUCGAUUCUUCCCCCUUUUCUUCUUCGAUUCUUUAUUCUCUUUCUUUCAUUUUUUUUUUUCAGAUUUUUGUGCUCUUUCUUCGCUGCAAACGAUUGAUUCUUCUUUUCUCUUUGGUUUUCUCUUUCUUUGAUCCUUCAUCUUCUUCUUCAUUUUUCUUGAACUCUCUUUUUUUUUUUUUUUUCGUGAUAUAUGUCCAGAUUUUUGAACUAAAAUCUGUCCAGAUUUUUAACUAAAAUCUGUCCAGAUUUGUUGAACUAAGAUCUGUCCUUAUUUUUUUUUUUUCUGGUGUAUGUCUAGAUUUUUGAACUAAAAUCUUUCCAGAUUUUUAACUAAAAUCUGUCCAGAUUUGUUGAACUAAGAUCUGUCCUUAUUUUUUUUUUUUUCCGAUGUAUGUCUAGAUUUUUGAACUAAAAUCUGUCCAGAUUUUUAACUAAAAUCUGUCCAGAUUUGUUGAACUAAGAUCUGUCCUUA